UGUCAUUAUUCCCUAAAGAAUACAGUAUAACAAUUAUUUACGUAACAUUUACAUUGUAUUAGAUAUUAUAAAUAGUCUAGAGAUUUUAAAGUAUACUGAAGUAUGUGCACAGGUUGUAUGCAAAUAGUAUAUCAGGAACAUGAGUAUUUGCAGAUUUUGGUAUGUGUGGGAGGUUCUGGAACUAGUACUGCAUAGAUACCAAAGGAUGAUUGUGUAGUCACAGAUUACAUGACCUUGCAUAUUAAAAAUCCCAAGGAAUUAAUAAAAAACUAUUAGAACUAAUAAAUGAGCUCAGGUCAGUUGCAGAAUAGAAGAUCAAUAUAUAAAAAUCAGUUGUAUUUCUAUACACAGACAAAGAACAAUCCAAAAAUGAAAUUAAAAAAAUUUCAUUAACAAUAGCAUAACAAAUUUUUAGGAAUAAACUUAACAAAAAGUGUAAAAUGUAUACACUGAGAAAUAUAAAACAUUAUUGAACGAAAUUAAGGAAACACCUAAAUAAAUGGAAAGAUAUCUUAUAGAGGACUUCAUAUUUUUAAUAUGGCAAUACUCCUUAAUUGAUCUGUAUGUUCAGUGCAAUUCCUACUGAAAUCCUAGCUGUCUUUAUUGCAGAAAUUGACAAGUUAAUCAUAAAUUUAUAUGAAAGCAAAGGGACUUAGCAUAGCUAAAACAGUCUUGAAAAAGAACAAAGUUUGAAGACUAUGCUUCCUAAUUUCAAAAUUUAUUACAAAACUACAGUAAUCAAGACAAUGUAGUACUAACUUAAGGAUGAAUAUACAGAUUAAUGGAAAGGAAUUGACAGUCUCAAUAUAAUUUCUCACAUUGAUGGUAAUUGAUUUUUGAUCAGGGUGCCAAGACAAUUCAUGGGCAAAGAAUAGUCUUUUUAAAUAAUAGUGCUGGGACAACUGGAUAUCCACAUGUAAAAUAAUGAAGUAAGACAUCUACUUCACACUAUAUACAAAAAAAAAAAAAAAGCUUACAGUGGAUCAUAGGCCUAUAUAUAAGAGCUAAACUUAUUAAAACUCCAAGAAGAAACACAAGUCUUUGUGUACUUAGAUUAGGCAGUGGUUUCUUAGAUAUGACACCAAAAGCUCAAGUGACAAGAAAAAUAGUUAAGUUAGACUUUAUCAAAGUUAAAAACAUUUGUGCGUCAAAGAACACUAUCAAAAAUGUGAAAAGACAACCCACAAAAUGGAAGAAAAUGUUUGGGAAUCUCAUAUCUGAUAACUGUCUUUAUUAUCUCCAGAAUAUAAAAGAAUUCUUACAGCUCAACAAUACAACUUAAUCUAAAAAGUAGGCAAGGGACUUGAAUAGACAUUUUUCCAAAUAAGACAUACAAAUGGCCAAUAAGCAUGUAAAAAGAUGCCCAACAGGCGGGCCCCAGAGCGGGCUCAGGGGAGCGUGGCAUGCCAGGCGCCUCCCGCCCGCCCGGAACAUAUGGAGGCUGGCCCAGGCGGCGCAGGAGCUGGAGCAGGGCCCGAGUGGGCGUCCGAGCCGGAGCGGAAGUGGGAGAGGGGCUGGAGCGGGGGUCCGCGCCGCGCUGCUGAAGCCUGGCCGGCCGCCCAGACACUGCCUGCGGCCCGGCCAUGGCAGAGCCAAGGAAAGGAUCUCUAUACAAACAAAUACGUGGCUGUCAAAUUGGAGCUGAUGAAGUCCGGGGCCCCACAGCUGCACCUGGGGUACUGGUUCUACAAGCGGCUCAGCGCCACUGAGGGCGCCCCUCAGGUCUACUACCUACUACUUCGGCCUGUGCUGGAAGUACAACGCUGUGGUGCUGGAGCUGCUGGGGCCCAGCCUGAAGGACCUGUUCAACCUUCACGCUGAAGACGGUGCUCCGGAUCGCCAUCCAGCUGAUCGCACGCAUGGAGUAUGUGCACACCAAGAGCCUCAUUUACCAGGACGUGAAGUCCGAGAACUUCGUGGUGUGGCGCCCGGGGACCAAGUGGCAGCUCGCCAUCCACAUUAUCAACUUCGGGCUGGCCAAGGGGUACAUUGGCCUUGAGACCAAGAAGCACAUGCCGUACUGUGAGCACAAGAGCUUGACAGGCAGGGCGCGCUACAUGAACGUCAACAUGCAGCUGGGCAAGGAGCAGAGCCACUGCAGUGACCUGGAGGUGCUGGGCCACAUGUUCAUGUACUUCCUGUGCUGCAGCCUCCCCUGGCAGGGGCUCAAGGCCGACGCGAUCAUGAGCGGUAUAGAAUAUCGGGAACACCAAGCGCACCACGCCCAUCGAAGUGCUCUGCUAGAACUUUCCAGAGGAGAUGGCCACAUACCUGCACUACGUGCGGCGCCUGGACUUCGAGAAACCCUACUGUGACUACCUGUGGACCUCUCCAUCGACCUCUUUGACCGAAGCGGCUUCGUGUUCGACUUUUGAGUACCACUGGCCCAGGAAGCCCUUGGCGACCCCCAUCGGCACCGUCCACACCGACCAACCCUCCCAGCCUCAGCUUUGGGACAAAGAUCAGCCACACAGCAAAAACCAGGUGCUGACCUCCACUAAUGGGGAGCUGAAUGUGGACGACCCCACGGCCGGCCAGUCCCGCGCCUAUGACGGCGCCUGCAGAGAUGGAGGUGGGCGAUGAAACCAAAUGCUGCUGUUUAUUCCCCUUGAAUCUUCUCCGUGCAGCCCCUUGGGGCAUGAGCUUGUGUGAGGCCCUUGGGGCCCACCGACAGCAGCCCAGGGCCAGACUCUGGCUGGAAGCCGGGACGCAGACUUAAGGGGCCGCGCCUGUCUCGGCCGGCGACCCCAUCCCCUAGACGAGGGGUCACUUCCUUCACAUAAAACUGGCCAAAGUUUCUACACCUGUGUCUAGUCCGCCCCUCCAAGAGCAUUAACUAUUUAAAACAAGGAAAAAAGUGGGAGGGAAAACCCCUUCUACCCCCAACCCUGCCCCUCCAUUUCUUUGCUGAAGUGAGUAGUGCGAUCCUGGAGGCCCUCAGGGCUGAGGCCGGCCCCAGCCCCAGCCCCGCCAUCCGCCCCCGUUAGCUUCAUAAAGUCUAGCUUCUCUCCCUCGAUCCAAAGGCCGUUUUCUGGAGGGGAGGGCAGGCCUGGCCUGGAGUGGUGCUGUGGGGCCAUCUUGCCCACGCCCACCUGGGAGGUACACAGGCAUUGCUGCCAGGGGUGAGGCUGUGCCCCAGGCUUCCCCAAAACUAAAGGGGAAGGGAGGGGUGGGGCCGCGGCUGAAGCCAGCUCCGCCCCCAAAAUGCUGCACCAAAGCUCAGGCGCCGCAGUCACGGCCACUGCAGCCUGGUCCCGGCGAGGGGCAGGUGGGCCCUGCUAGGAGGGUGCUUCUCGAGGCACCUGUUCCCGGAGGCUGUGCUCCGACCCUCAGAACCUGAGGGGGGUGGGCCGGCUGGCGUCGCCCUGCUCGGCCCCUGGGCUCUGCUGCAUGGGGCCGCGCGGGCAGGGGGCUUCCUGUCUCUGUGCUCUGCCACCCGGCAAGCAGCCGCAGACGAAAUGCCUUAAAGCCCCCGGCUCAGCCCCGCAGGUGUAUGUGCAGGGGCCUGGGGGCGGCUCUGGACUGGCUGGCGGUCCCCCAGUGGGUCAGCUUGAGGCCGUGCCCAGGGCGGUGGCCGUGAAUCUGGUUUUUGCUUUACCAAGUGUACAGAAAUGGCAUUUACGUUUCUCUGAUGCUCUUUUGAAGCCAUACAACUUAGGGGCUUUUUUAAAAAAAAAAGAAAAGAAAAAUGACCCCCCCCCAAAAAAGGUGCCCAACAUCGUUGGUCAUUAGAGAAAAGCCAAUCAAACCCACAAUGGGAUAAUAAUAGAUCUACAAGGAUGGCAAAAAUCAGAAAGACAAAAAUAACAAGUGUUAGAGGAUUUGGACUAGUUUGGAAGCCAUAUAUUGCUGUUGGGAAUGUAGAGUGGUGCUGCUACUUUGGAAAACAGUUUGGCCGUUCCUCAAAAGGAUAAACAGAGU